rnacentral:rRNA from 1 species
UACAGAGGUGGCAAGCGUUGUUCGGAAUUACUGGGCGUAAAGCGAACGUAGGCGGUGUUCCAUGUCAGAGGUGAAAGCCUGGGGCUCAACUCCAGAAUUGCCUUUGAAACGGGAACGCUUGAGUCCGAGAGAGGGUGGCGGAAUUCCUAGUGUAGAGGUGAAAUUCGUAGAUAUUAGGAAGAACACCAGUGGCGAAGGCGGCCACCUGGCUCGGUACUGACGCUCAGGUUCGAAAGCGUGGGGAGCAAACAGG